rnacentral:rRNA from 1 species
AACUCUGAUGCAUUGAUGCCGCGUGAGUGAAGAAGGCUUUGGGUUGUAAAGCUCUUUUGUAGGGGAAGAUAAUGACUGUACCCUAAGAAUAAGGUCCGGCUAACUUCGUGCCAGCAGCCGCGGUAAUACGAAGGGACCUAGCGUAGUUCGGAAUUACUGGGCGUAAAGCGCGCGUAGGCCGUUGAGUUAGUUAAUUGUGAAAUCCCAAAGCUUAACUUUGGAACUGCAAUUAAAACUGCUCGACUAGAGUUUGAUAGAGGAAAGCGGAAUACAUAGUGUAGAGGUGAAAUUCGUAGAUAUUAUGUAGAACACCAGUUGCGAAGGCGGCUUUCUGGGUCAACACUGACGCUGAGGCGCGAAAGUAUGGGUAGCAAAGAGGAUUAGAUACCCUCGUAGUCCAUACCAUAAAUGAUGAUUGCUAGAUGUUGGAAAUUUAUUUUCAGUAUCGCAGCUAACGCAUUAAGCAAUCCGCCUGGGGAGUACGACCGCAAGGUUAAAACUCAAAUGAAUUGACGGGGACCCGCACAAGCGGUGGAGCAUGUGGUUUAAUUCGAAGAUACGCGCAGAACCUUACCAACCCUUGACAUGUCUGUCGCGAGUUUAGGAAACUAGACUUUUCGGUUCGGCCGGACAGAACACAGG